AGUGUCAAGAAGAAGGGAACUGCUGUCAUCAUUAGCUUGGAAUGGAAUUUGUAUUUUGACAAAAGAUGCAGACAUUUUAAGAACCGGGUCAGUUAACGGAUUUUGCAAAUAUGGAGGAUAAUAUAUCAAAGGCAGCAUAGGCGUCCAAACUCCUGUUCAAGGUGCUUUUAAUCAGAAGCUUAAGAGACAAAAGACGAGCCAUUGACAAGCCAAAACUGAAUGUUUUAUAGGAAAUUGAGCAAGAAAAGUUUGAAGUGUCUUUGGGAAUGAUCAACAUCAAACUUGCUGAGCUUUCGAAGCCGUCGUACCAAAAGUAAACCCAUUUGUGACAACAAUUAUCUGACCAUCCUCUAGCAGAACCAGUGAGGAAGUGAUUCUAGCCAACACUUUAGAAGUUCAGGACCUUCAAUAAUAAGGAUCUUGGGGCAUGUUGGGGAAAAAAAUAGCAUGUGUUGAUUUUAUGGGAUCUUCCAAAUAUAGUUGUGUAGUAGAUAUUUGUGUACUUAAUACCUAUGUUUGUCACUCUAGUCAUUAACUUUGUAUGGUAAAUGUCUAUGGACCACUGGAAGAUCAUUGUAACUGUAUACAAAUGUUGCAAAUAUACCCUUUUAAGGCUUUAGUGACCUUUCCCAAAUUCAUUUAAUGAAGCAAAAGGUCAUAAUUAAUUUUUUUUUUUUAAUCUAAUUUGUUUUAUUAUCAAAAAUGUCAUAUGUUUGGGAUUACUCUAGGUACAAAGGAUUUUCUUUAAACAAAAGUCAUUUGU